AACACUUGAAAACUUCAAUUCAACAACUCCACAAUGUUUCACGAAUUUGCAACAAAAAUUAAGCACUUGCACUAGAAAGAUCGAAAGAGAGCUUGAGAGAGAUUGAGAGAGAUUGAUGAAUUGGUGAAUUAAAAUGAAGAAUGAGGGGGUAUUUAUAGUUGAGAAAUGGGAAAUUGUGUAAUUAUAUAAAGUUUGAGGUUAAAUUAAAUUUGAG
rnacentral:lncRNA from 1 species